rnacentral:tRNA from 1 species
GUCGUUGUAGUAUAGUGGUGAGUAUCCCCCCUGUCACGCGGGAGACCCGGGUUCGAUCCCGGCAAACGGCG